AUUGAACGCUGGCGGCAGGCUUAACACAUGCAAGUCGAGCGGUAACAGAGAGAAGCUUGCUUCUCUGCUGACGAGCGGCGGACGGGUGAGUAAUGCCUAGGAAUCUGCCUAGUAGUGGGGGAUAACUUGCCGAAAGGUAAGCUAAUACCGCAUACGUCCUACGGGAGAAAGGAGGGGACCUUCGGGCCUUUCGCUAUUAGAUGAGCCUAGGUCGGAUUAGUUAGUUGGUGAGGUAAUGGCUCACCAAGACCGCGAUCCGUAACUGGUCUGAGAGGAUGAUCAGACACACUGGAACUGAGACACGGUCCAGACUCCUACGGGAGGCAGCAGUGGGGAAUAGUGGACAAUGGGGGGAACCCUGAUCCAGCCAUGCCGCGUGUGUGAAGAAGGUCUUAGGAUUGUAAAGCACUUUAAGUUGGGAGGAAGAGCAGUUAACUAAUAUUUGACUGUUUUGACGUUACCGACAGAAUAAGCACCGGCUAACUUCGUGCCAGCAGCCGCCGUAA
rnacentral:rRNA from 1 species